CGUGUAGGCGGUUUGGUAAGUGGGACGUGAAAUCCCUCGGCUCACCCGAGGACCUGCGUCCCAUACUGCCAGGCUCGAGUACGGGAGAGGAUGAAGGAAUUCCUGGUGUAGCGGUGAAAUGCGUAGAUAUCAGGAGGAACACCGGUGGCGAAGGCGUUCAUCUGGCCCGAUACUGACGCUGAGGCGCGAAAGCUAGGGGAGCAAACGGGAUUAGAUACCCCGGUAGUCCUAGCCGUAAACGGUGAGCACUAGGUGUUGGAGGCAUUGACCCCUCCAGUGCCGCAGCUAACGCAUUAAGUGCUCCGCCUGGGGAGUACGGCCGCAAGGUUGAA
rnacentral:rRNA from 1 species